rnacentral:rRNA from 1 species
AUGUGUGUCCCUAAAAAACAAGGAGGUAUGGGGUUUAAAGAUUUGGAGAGUUUUAAUUUGGCCAUGUUAUCUAAACAAUGUUGGAGACUGAUGAGCGAGCCAAAUUCUUUGUGUGCCCAAGUGCUUCGUGCAAAGUAUUACCCUUCAGGUGAUCUUUUUAAUUGUGAUUUGAAGAAGGGGAGCUCUUACAGGUGGUAAAGUUUAUGGGCAGGUAUACAAACAUUAAACGAGGACACAUCUGGCGUGUAG